UUUAAAUUCAAUCAUAAGCUUUCGCGCUCAACUUUCAUCGUCCGUCUUAUUUUUUUUAUAAUUAGUAUUUUUGUUAUUAUGAGAUGAUAAAACAUGAAUAAUAUUUUACUCGUGACUUAUGUUUUUAAUUUUUUUUUCAAAACUUUUUAAAUAAGAAGGAUGUUUAAAGUUGGGCGCGGAAACCAUGGCUGCACUUAAA
rfam:Oryza meridionalis cultivar OR44 (W2112) chromosome 3, whole genome shotgun sequence.